rnacentral:lncRNA from 1 species
CCCUAUUAGAUAAAAGCUAGGAGCAUAAAUACAUGAUAACUAGGCAGAUUUUCAGAAGACUAACAUAUUGCAAUUAACUGAUGUUGACAUUAUACAAGUACUUAAUCCAAUUUUAGCAUGGUAAUAGAGAUGCUUAGAUCAUUAUAAUUUUUCAUUAUAAUCAUUACUAAACCUGAUAAAAAAUAUAGAAAAGCAUUUCUCUCUUGCGAAAGAAUGCAAAGAUCAACUGCUGGUUGCUUUGAUUUGCAUAUUGGCAAGUUACAAGUGUUAAAAAAUAACUAUCAAACAGGCUAACUUGUAAAAAGUAAAUGAAGAAUAAACUAACUGUCAUGUGAUUAAAAUGCAAUUUAGAAAAUAGACAAAAUACAUCAUUUUUAUUAAUAUACUGAACAAUAAACUUAUUGUUAAUAUACUAAUAACAACGUUUCUCUUUUUCAGGUCACUUUCCACAAAAACCUGAUUUUUUUCCCUUUUCUUUCUAAUGUUUCAAUCAAAUGAUUUCGUCUGUAUAUUGCUCAACAUAUAUAUUCCUCAUGUAUUAAAUGUUUUCGUCCUCCACCAUAUCUGGGGAAGACUAGAAAGUGCAGGUUAAGUAAAUUUUAUUAUGAUAAAAUAAUAUGAAAGAAAAGCACAAGGUAGGAAACCUUGCCUGCAAUCCUCUUUUACCAAGCUGUUUAACAGCCACAUUAAGUUUCUUAUCUUCAGAUGUUUUAAUCACACCCUUGUAGACACACCCAAAUCCACCCUCGCCAAUUUUGGUGGAAUGGCUGAAAUUUUUAGUGACUAAUUUUAGGUCAGCAAGUGUAAACUCUCUGAGGUUGUUGGACUUCUGUGAUAAGCUUGGAAUCAUGGGUUUUCCAAUGGACUCCAUGCUGAUAUCUGACAUAUUUCUGGAAUUGAAUUCAGACCCUGAUCGCCUUGCUGAACGAUCGGUAAAACCAGAACCUGAAGACUGACCCUCAAUUGACUUGGAUGGCUUAGUUUCAUCCUUCUUUUCCCCAAUGUAAAAAUUGAAACACUUCAUGCCUCUUUAAAAUUAAAAUAUCGGCUGAUACGAAAUUACCUGCAGAAAUUGUUUUUGACUCUGAGAACCUAUCCAGAAACCAACAUCACAUUGGUGCUCGAAACUAGUUUCGACCAACCAAGAACCAUAAUAAAUUUUGAAAUUUAACCACAUACUACCAAACUUGUGAUGUAAGAGGCAAACACAAACAAUUGGGAAUAAAACAAUGCAUCUUCUGGUGGCAUAUAAUAAAGUUUGCACUUUGCAGGAGGGAACCACAAAAACUGACAAAACCUUAAAACCAAUAAAUUCAAGAUUGAUCAAUAGACUCAUAUUAUCUUGUUUGCUAAUUAGAAAAUUCGACAAUAUCUCAAUUAUGCGCAUCAUCCAGGAUGAGGGCCGAGGGGUCAAGAAGAUUUUCUAUCUAUUACUCGAAUUUUAUCAGAUGUCCCCAAUGGUAACCCACAUCAAACUUUAAAGGCAAAACCAUCAAGAUCACUAGUUGAGUUCUGAAAUGAGAAUAUCUACCAAUGAUAAACAACCAGGCAUCAGGACCAGCUAGCUUAAGACAAUAAUCAGCAGAAACAAAAUUGCAAAAAAUGACAAAGAUGAUAUACCUUCAAAUUUUCUACAAGGGCCUAAAUUGAGGGCAAGAACAUCAGAGAAUAAACAACAUAAAGUAACAAUUAGUAAUAAACCAUAUGUGUAGAUAUAACAUAUAUAUAAGUGUACAGUAAGAGAUGAGCUUAAAGAUCAAAACUUGCAGUAGUAUAGAGAACAGGAAGGCCUACCCUUGAAUUUUCUUGAUCUGACAGCAGCAAGCAGUGUGCAAAGAUUUGUAAACCUAAAUUUAUUUAAAGAAACAGAGAGCCCAUUACUUGGAAAGUUCACAAAAAGCUAAAACAAACGCAAAGAUAGAAUUGCAGACAAGUCUGAAAGCAAACCAACUUGCCACAGUCUUUUUUACCAACUAUUUAUAAAUGGAAAAACCAAGAUUCAACACUGUGGCUUAACUACCAUAGAAAUAAAAAAAGAAAUAAUGUGUUGGCAUGCAAAUAUAAAUGGUAUUUAAUAAAACAAAUAUUAUGGAUUUCUGGCAAAUUAAAUGAAGAAAAAGAAUGUGAAAGUUGAAGAAGCUGGUUGGAAUGAGGUGGUUUGAACUUUGAAUAAAAGACCAGAGUGGUUUCUAAAGAUUGUGACUGACUUUAUUUUAGGGGGAAAAAUACCAACGAAAGAAGAUAUUGUUAAAAAUAAGUAGGACAAGUCACCGGUCCAGGUACUGGACCGGGAGAAUGGAAAGCAGCGGUUCCAGAACACAAUGGACAGAUUUACUCGACUUUGGUUAGUAUUAAAAUAGUCUGGUCAAUGGAUUCCUUUAAGACUGUACUGUACAGGUCCUUGCUGCACGUGGCCGAACUGGUUUUGAUAGUACUUCGGCGCAUCUCCGGUGAAUUUCCUUUGGAUAAAAAUAAUUAGAGGCCGUUUGGCUUACACUGACGGGGUGUAUUCGAUUGGGAUUUUAAUGGAUUGUUUUUAGUCUAUCAAUUUUAAUGGAUUGUAUGAGAUUUUGAUUUUGGGGAAUUCUUGAUAAAAUGUCAUGUUUCAAAAUCCCAUUGAUUUUGGUGGGAUUUCAAAAAACUUAAAAUACACAGAAGAAUGACACAAAAUCCAUCAUUUUAUGAAAUGAAAAAAAAUCCAUUAGCAUUUGAAUACCAUCAGAUUUUAAUGGAUUUUAAACAAUCACAAUUGAAUACCAUCGGAUUUUAAAGCAUAAUUUAAAAUCCUAAUUGAAUACCACCAGAUUUUAUAGCAUAAUUUGAAAUCCCAAUUGAAUAUCUUAAGAUUUUAAUAGAUUUCAAACAAUCACAAUCGAAUACCCUCGGAUUUCAUGAAUACAAAAAAAUACUUUAAAAUCCCAAUCCAAUACACCCCUAUGAAAUGAGUGAUUUAUUAUUUGCAUAAAGACGACGAUUAUAAGUAAUAAGUAAAGUUCACUUACAAGUUAUUAAAAGUAAAUGUUUUAAAAAAGGUUAUUAAAAGUGAAUUGAGUAUUUCAUAAUUAAAAUUUUUAAAUUUCAAAUUAUUAAAAUAAAAGAAAUUUUAUUAAUAAUAAAGUUUAUUAUAUAUUAAAAUUUUCAUUAUAAAUUGUAAAUCACUAAAAAGUUUCAAAAAAUUAGUAUUUCUAAUUUCUACUUUCCAACUUAAAAAACCCAAAAGAAACAAUUUUGUUUCUUUUGCCAAACACUACACAAAAAAUAAAACAGUUUGAAGUGCUAAAAGAUGUCCGAAAAUACUUAAAAUAAGCGUUGUCAAACACCCACUCAGUAUGUAUUUUAAAUAAAAACAUAAAAAAUUUUAAAAAAAUUCAAUUUUAAGGGAUAAUGUUAUUAUUUAUAAUUUUAAACAACAAAGAUUAUCUCAACGAGGUUAGGUAUAAUAAUUGGCUAAAUUGGACAUAUAAAAGAUUAUAUAAAAUUUGAAAUUUUCUAGACAUUUUACUUUGAUGAUACUGUCUAUAUUGAUCGGAUAUAUCUUAAAAAUAGUACUCCCUCCGUCCCAUUUUAUGUGACCCUUCUUCCUUUUUGGGAGGUCCCAAAAAGAAUGAACCUACAAUACUUACUAUUUUUGAACACUACUUUUCACUAUUACACCCACUACUUUCUUCCACUAUCUCUUUUCUAUAAUAAUAUAAACACUAUUACACCCACUAUCUUCCUCCACUAUCUCAAAUCUAUUAUUUUUGGUGGAAUGGCUGAAAUUUUUAGUGACUAAUUUUAGGUCAGCAAGUGUAAACUCUCUGAGGUUGUUGGACUUCUGUGAUAAGCUUGGAAUCAUGGGUUUUCCAAUGGACUCCAUGCUGAUAUCUGACAUAUUUCUGGAAUUGAAUUCAGACCCUGAUCGCCUUGCUGAACGAUCGGUAAAACCAGAACCUGAAGACUGAC